CACCGCGGUUAUACGAGAGGCCCAAGCUGACAGCCAUCGGCGUAAAGCGUGGUUAAAUACUUAAAUAAAAUAAAGCUGAAUGCUCCCUCAACUGUUAUACGUUCUCGGGAGCUAGAAACUCUUCUACGAAAGUAGCUUUAAUCUUAUUGAAACCACGAAAGCUAAGACA
rnacentral:rRNA from 1 species